rnacentral:rRNA from 1 species
CCUACGGGGGGCUGCAGUGGGGAAUAUUGGACAAUGGGGGCAACCCUGAUCCAGCCAUGCCGCGUGUGUGAAGAAGGCCCUCGGGUUGUAAAGCACUUUCAGUGAGGAAGAACGCCUGGUGGUUAAUACCCAUCAGGAAAGACAUCACUCACAGAAGAAGCACCGGCUAACUCCGUGCCAGCAGCCGCGGUAAUACGGAGGGUGCGAGCGUUAAUCGGAAUUACUGGGCGUAAAGCGCGCGUAGGUGGCUUGAUAAGCCGGUUGUGAAAGCCCCGGGCUCAACCUGGGAACGGCAUCCGGAACUGUCAAGCUAGAGUGCAGGAGAGGAAGGCAGAAUUCCCGGUGUAGCGGUGAAAUGCGUAGAGAUCGGGAGGAAUACCAGUGGCGAAGGCGGCCUUCUGGACUGACACUGACACUGAGGUGCGAAAGCGUGGGUAGCAAACAGGAUUAGAUACCCGAGUAGUC